CAGAUUUGUCCUGUGGUACACCACCAUACAGUCUUGCUGCAAAUCUCUGGAAAGAAUUAGCAACACUCACUCCAUUUGCUACAGUGGUGGAAAAGAGAAGGAGCAGGCUGACUUAUCACUCCUGUUUGGGGCUACACACUGUGGCUGCUUGUGGCUCAGAGCCAGCGCGCUGCCAAGAGUGCCCUCGGCAUACCUCCAGGACAGCGAGGGAAGAACACAGCAAGUAGUAAAGAGCUGAAGGACA